rnacentral:rRNA from 1 species
GACGAACGCUGGCGGCGUGCUUAACACAUGCAAGUCGAACGAUGAAGCUGGAGCUUGCUCUGGUGGAUUAGUGGCGAACGGGUGAGUAACACGUGAGUAACCUGCACUGGACUCUGGGAUAACCCCGAGAAAUCGGAGCUAAUACCGGAUAGGACCUCGGAUCGCAUGAUCUGGGGUGGAAAGUUUUUCGGUCUGGGAUGGACUCGGGGCCUAUCAGCUUGUUGGUGAGGUAAUGGCUCACCAAGGCGUCGACGGGUAGCCGGCCUGAGAGGGUGACCGGCCACACUGGGACUGAGACACGGCCCAGACUCCUACGGGAGGCAGCAGUGGGGAAUAUUGCACAAUGGGCGCAAGCCUGAUGCAGCAACGCCGCGUGCGGGAUGACGGCCUUCGGGUUGUAAACCGCUUUUAGUAAGGAAGAAGCCGCAAGGUGACGGUACUUGCAGAAAAAGGACCGGCUAACUACGUGCCAGCCGCCGCAGUAACAC